UCUAAAAUGACAGAAAGAUGUAUAGGAUUUAAGCUCCUAUAAGGAAGGAAAUACCUUCUUUUAGAA
rnacentral:tRNA from 1 species